GACGUAGGGCGCGAGCGUUGUCCGGAUUUAUUGGGCGUAAAGAGCUCGUAGGCGGUCUGUCGCGUCUGCUGUGAAAACUCAGGGCUUAACCCUGAGCUUGCAGUGGGUACGGGCAGACUAGAGUGCGGUAGGGGAGACUGGAAUUCCGUGGUGUAGCGGUGAAAUGCGCAGAUAUCAGGAGGAACAGCCGGUGGCGAAGGCGGGUCCCUGG
rnacentral:rRNA from 1 species